CAAGCUAUUAAUAAUUUUCUAGUUUUGGAGUUGGACAUUUGUGGGUUUAUUAUAUGAUUGUGCUUGAUAACAUAUAAAUGUGAUACAUAUUGUUUGUAUGAGAUAUAUAUAUAUGUGUAUAUAUAUAUAUAUAUCUCAUACAAACAAUAUGUAUCACAUUUAUAUGUUAUCAAGCACAAUCAUAUAAUAAACCCACAAAUGUCCAACUCCAAAACUAGAAAAUUAUUAAUAGCUUGUACUACUCCUGUGUUCUUCCCCAUCUGCCUGUAGGAAUUAUUUCUUUUUCUAAAAUAGUUUUCUUACAUACAUAUAUAUAUCAAAUAAUGUGUUUUUGCUUAUUUUUCAGCUACAAGAUUGUGUCACACUGUAUAUAGUCUACCGUAUUACUUUUUUUUUUUUUUUUGAGACGCAGUCUCACUCUGUCACCCAGGCUGGAGUGCAGUGGCACAAUCUCCAUUCACUGCAACCUCCGCCUCCCGGGUUCAAGAGAUUCUCUCCUGCCUCAGCCUUUUGAGCAGCUGGGAUUACAGGUGCCCAACUACACCAGGCUUUUUUUUUUUUUUUGAGACCGAGUCUCGCUCUGUCGCCAGGCUGGAAUGCAGUGAUGUGAUCUUGGC
rnacentral:lncRNA from 1 species